AUGAAAAUCUUAGCCUGGAAUUGUCGCGGGCUUGGGAACGCCCCGGAAAUUCGUGCUUUGCUGGAUGUCCAGCGAAGAUGUGACCCCGAGGUGAUGUUUCUAUCGGAGACGCACCUUGAUACUCAUCCGGCAGAAUGUUUGAGGCGUAGUCUUAAGAUGGACCAGAAAUUGGUUUGUGUUAGUGAUGGUAGAAAGGGUGGAUUAUUGCUAUUUUGGAAAAAAUCGGUUAAAGUG
rnacentral:rRNA from 1 species